GUUUCAAAGACCAAGAUUGUAAUACACUGGCGUCGUCUGGAGUUUAACUUUAGGUUUUGAUAUACUGGCAGAACGUUUCAACGAGAACAUACUAUAUAAAAAAGGGUGAGUUUU